rnacentral:antisense_RNA from 1 species
GAGGGCGGCGACCGCUGCGCCUACCUGCUUUUCCCUCCAUAGGGACUUCCCAAAGGAAAGGAGGGUGUUUAGGGGCUUUCACACGCCUGAUCUUAAACACAGCGCCCUGACCCCUCCCCUCCAAAAACGGCAAAAUGUCAUUUUUGGGGGCAAAUCUAAGGUUUUCCCUACAAUUGUUCAAGCUUUCACACUAAAACAUUUACCUAAAAACGGGCAGAAAUUCAGCCUUAAACCCACAAAUCUCACGAUGGUAUGGACCCUGGGCCCACUCAGGUUUCCUGAAAACUAAACAAUUGUGGACUUAGGGGUUUGGAGAACGGGCUAUUGUUAAAGAAAAAAGUAUUUAGUGACACUUGUUAAAGCACAAAAAAGAAAGGCUUUAUUCAGGACCAUCGCAACAGGUAUAGGGACCACUGACUGCAAUGGAGACUUGCAGUGGGGAAAGAGAUAUUGGGCUCAGCUCCUCAUACAGCAUGGGCAAGUGGAGAUUUAUAGCCAAGGAGCAGUGACAGGCCAAGAUAAUGAGGCAUCACCUGGGGGAUGGUGGAGACUGAAGAACCUGAUCAGAUAUUGAGGAUGAUCAGCUAUCAAGGAUAGGGGUUUAUUGCUAAUCUGACUUAGCAAAGUUCUUUGCUUAAACUGGAUUUUACAAAGAAAGUGUACAGAAGAGCCUAGCAGAAGAUUCAGAAACCUGACUAAAGUUGGCCAAGCAAAAAAAAAAUCUUUGUAUCUAAAGGGCUAUGUUAUCCUCUGGACAAAUUGAGGGGGGGUUGUGUGUUAACAUUCUUAGCAGUCCUCUUCAGUUGUACCACCAUCUCCACUUUAAUAAAAAAAAAUUUCUUUCAAAUCU